ACCUCACUGGAGAUGAGCCACAACAGUUUGGUGUACCAGAUAGAAAGGAGAGAAUCCUUUUAGAAGUUAUAAUGGUCAAGGUGAGAUUGCAAACUGCUUCCCUUAGUUCCGCUCGAUGCUCAUCACGGUGUGACGUACUUUCGAUGACCUUCGAAGGCCGAGUGCCUCACAAUCGGAGAAAACAGCAGACUAGCAACAGCUUGCCGCCUUGGUAU
rnacentral:lncRNA from 1 species